rnacentral:lncRNA from 1 species
CUGUGACACGGGUUAAGGACUAUCGAUCCCGAGUUUUCGGUUUGAUUAAGUCGUUGAAGUACUUGGAUAAGACAGAUGCGGAGGGAAACGAGAGGCCCGAGUCCGAUGAUGAUGAUGAGGAAGAGGAGGACGACGAUGAUGAAGAAGAUGAUGAUCCUGGGAGCGGGGAAAUUGAUGGCGGGGAGGAUCGGCCAUUGAGGUUAAACAAUGGGAAUCGAGCAGGUAGUGAAGGGGUUGUGGAUGUUGAUGAGGAUGAGGAGAGUGAUGCAGAUGAGGAGGAAGCAGAGACUUCUAGAGGGGUAAAUGGGAUGAACAGUGGUGGCAGUUCUCAUCAUCAAUCCAAUGGGUUUCGGGUGGAGGCUGUGAAUGCAGAGGAUGAUGAGGAUUCAGUUGAGGAGGUAUACGAGGAUGAGGGUGAUGAUGAUGAAGAUGUGGUGGAGGUUCAUGAGAUAGAUGAUAGUGAUGACGAUGAUGGUGUGGAUGAUGAUGAGGAGGAUGAUGAUGAAGAGGUGGAUAAUGAUGAGGGAGAUUUGGGGGAGCCUGCGAGUACACGGAAGUUCACAAGCACCGAAGGAGAGAUUGAUGGGCAUGAACAGGGGGAGGAUGAUGUGGAUGAGGAUGAUAAUGGUGAGACAGGGGAGGAAGACGAGGAGGGUGUUGAGGAGGAUGGAGACUUUGAGGAUGAUGAAGAAGCUGAAGAUGAGGUGAUCCCUUUCAUUGUCAAUCAAAGUGCUUUACAUUGUUUACUAGCAUGGGGGCGAUUUUCAUGAAUCUGUAGAUGUUUUUUCUUGAUGAUAUAUAUCAUGCAUCAAUAUUUGGGAAUUUAUUGUUUUGAUAUCUGUGUGCACACAAUAGUUCUUUUGGUAUGCUUGGAUAUGUGAGCUUCUUGAUGCUUCAAACUUUGUGGUUCAUAUUAGUUUGUUUGUGCUGUUCCUCUGCAUGUUGUGGUGUAAACUGUUGGAUAAGCUUCUUUGCUUUCAUUCUUAUGUUUUUACAUUAUGCACCUUGAUUUCUAAUGGUGUAAAAGUUGUUUUUGCAGAAUAUAAAGAAGUUCAGUAGUUGAAAUGUGACACUAGCACUUUUGAGGAUUGUGACUUUUUCUACUUUGUGUAUUAUUCUUUUAUGCAUCUGGACUAGUACUAUUAUGUGACUUUUAGAAUCAAUCUAUUGUAGUGUAAAGAAGUGUAAAUUUAGAUUUUCAUUUCAUGAGGAUUUCUGAAAGAUAGGGACUUGUUGUGAUUAUGUCCAGCUACAAGUUUCAGAUGCUUUUGAUAUGCCAAAAAAGGCUUAAGUUUCCACAAUUUGCUACAUAUUUAUAGAAAGAUUUGAGCAUCCAUCUUUUAAGAUUGGAGAAAGAAGAUGAAGAGAGUUUCUGCGAUAUAAAUUCUUUAUAAAACUUUGUAUGCCCAUAAAAUUCAGAGAAAAAUUGUAUCAUCUAAACAUGUUUUUCUUAUUGGUGUGCUAGUUUUUCAUUGUUUUAACAGGAUUGGCUUGUUUCUUGAUUGUUUCAAGCUUUUGAGUGUGUUUUGGGAAUCUAACGUUUCCAGCACUGAAGCUGCUCAUCUGUGAAUCCUUGAACUAUGUAAAAAUUUUGGAGUACAGAAUGACCAGGAAAACAAGGGGGAAAAAUUGGAAGUCUUGUGCUGCUGUUGACAUCAAAUGUUUGUCAUAAAUAUUGAGUUUGGUGUGCGCGUACUGGAUCUUUUUGAGCCAUAUUUUCUUGCAUUUUGUGGCUUAUUUAGUUUAACAUGUAGCAACAUGGUUCUGCUAACUAUAUCAGAAUAUAUUCUCUUUUGGAGUCUUGGGAUAAGUAGGCCCUAAAAAUGCUUAUCUUGGCUGAUUUUCAUUUGCAAAAAGAAAAGAGGAGAGAAAAUCUAUUUUGGGAGUGUCAUUGGUUUGUCAGAGAUCAUUGCUUUAUCUUGCACUGCAGUUGUUAGCAGUUCUACAUAACAUUUUGCAUGCUCCCUAAGAUUUUGGUUGUGAAUUCUACUUUCCUGGAUAUAUCUGAGCCUUGUCUGUCGUAGGUUUCUUCCCUUCUCUUUAUACAUGUUCUGUUUACCCCCCAGUUUUUGUUCACGUUUUAUGUGGUGCAAUAUUUUGUAUUUUUACCUUUUCCUUUUCCUUUUUUCUUUUCUUUUAUGCUUGGAUGGGUUGGUUUAGCUUUCCCAGUGUUCUCUCACUACUCAUCUGCUGCAAUGUGACUAUCAUCUCUUGCUACGAUUUCCUGGUUUUGAAGGUGUUGAGAAACCAAACUUUACAGUCAUUUUGUUUGUAUCUGAAUUUUCAUAAAUUAUCAGGUUGUUCGUGGAAUGGUUGCUACUGUUUUUCCUUGAAAUUUCAGUAAACUCCAAAUCAAUUUGUUUUUGCUUAGAACUUUUUGUACGAUCUGUCCUGCUACCAAAAGUAAAACAAAAUCCUCUUUAUUUCUAUUUUUUUGCCCUUCUGGUUUAUGGAAAUUUAAUUUGAGUUUUAAAUUAACGACAGGAAGACAAUAAUGGCACGGGAUAUCUUGUUCAACCAGUUGGGCAGGUAGAAGCAGAUGCUGGAGGUGGAGAUUUGGACCCUGUAAAUGAAGGUGAAGAGCCUGAAUUAGAGGAAGACGAAGAUGAAGACGGCGAAGUCCAAGAACUGCCACCCGCUGCUGCUCACAAGAGGAAGAGAGACGACGAAGAUGGUGAUGGUGAUGGUGAUGGUGAUGAGGAGGAGGAGGAUGUUGACGCUCAUCAUAGUAAGUCAUCAAAGCACCAUUAGCAAUUGGGAUUGUGGUAUGUAGGUUGUUUAUUCUGGAGAAAAUGUUGGAAACUUGAAUAUGGACCGUCAAGUGAGAAUAUU